rnacentral:rRNA from 1 species
GUCUAGGCCAUGCCAUCCUGAACACGCCCAAUAUCAUCUGAUAUCAGAAGCUAAGCAGGAUCAGGCCUGGUUAGUACUUGGAUGGGAGACCACCUAGGAAGACAGGGUUCUGUAAGCA